GCUGUCACCAUCACACUUCCCACUGCAUACCACCUCCCUCAUAUCAAGAGUUUUCUACUCCAUAUUCUCUGUCACAUUCAUGUGGACUCAAAGAAGGCAAGGUUCAACCAACCUUCAGAAAUCUUGUCAACGCAGAGCUUCAUACAUCUACUAACUAAUCGGAUUUGAUAUGUAGGUCAUGGUCUUUAUAUCUUCCUUUGUCUAACUAGAGACACCAGCAAGCAAAUAGAUAAAUUCAACACUGAAUAAAAGGAAAGAUGGUUAGACAAGAAUACUGAAUACAUAACAAAAGGAAAGAGGUUGAGAAUGGCCUGCAAAGAUCAAGAUCAAGAUCAAGUUCCGCUCCACAGUUUCAAAAGGCGAGAAUGGCAGACAUGAUCACCUCAAUUUCCCAUACGAGGAAAUGGGAGUAGACAGCCAUUCAUAUGCCAAAAUCACGGGUGUCACAAAGGCCAAAUUGGAAGAAAGACACUCUGGCUGCCAGCUCAUUGGCUAAUCACUGUUGCAGGGGACUCCUACAAAUCCACAGCAUAGCAGGGACAUCCUUUUGUAAUGACCAUGACGUUGCAGCUCCUCUCAACAAGAAGAGCUGGGUUUCAUGGCUGCUCCUCUGGGUUCCUGCAGAGCUACAUGAAUUGAUGAGAGGAAUGGCCUUUGACCUUCCAG